CCUAAGGUUUUUUUUUUUUUUUUUUUUAAGUUAAUGGGGAAUUUUUGAGAUGCAAUACCAAUACCUUAGAAUUUGGUCUUGAUGUUUGUAUGAAAUUCUGAGG